ACUGGCACUUGGAGAGUGGCAAGUCUUCCAGUAUGGGGAGCAAAACAGCUAUGGGUCAAGUCCGAUAUCUUUAGGAGAAGUCUUAUUGUGAGGGCGAGUUAUAUAACACCAUAGGACUGGCCGUCCCAUAUGAAAAGAUUAUAUUAGAAUUGAAUGAAGCUUUGUUUAUAUAUUGAUAAUGACAGUAUAUAUAUCGUGUCUUGACUAAUUGCGUGCCAGCAGUCGCGGUAAUACGUAAGAGACUAGUGUUAUUCAUCUUAAUUAGGUUUAAAGGGUACCCAGACGGUCAAUAUAGCUUAUAAAAUGUUAGUACUUGACUAGAGUUUUAUGUAAGAGGGCAGUACUUGAGGAGGAGAGAUGAAAUUUCGUGAUACCAAAGGGACUCUGUAAAGGCGAAGGCAGCCCUCUAUGUAAAAACUGACGUUGAAGGACGAAGGCACAGAGAACAAACAGGAUUAGAUACCCAAGUAGUCUUUGCAGUAAAUGAUGAAUGCCAUAGGUUAGAUUGAUCAAUUAUAGUCUAGGGUUAGUCUAGCAAACUAAUGCCCUAUGAUAUAAUUCAAAAUAUCUGGUCUAUAAAUGAAAGUGUAAGCAUUUCACCUCAAGAGUAAUGUGGCAACGCAGGAACUGAAAUCACUAGACCGUUUCUGACACCAGUAGUGAAGUAUGUUAUUUA
rnacentral:rRNA from 1 species